ensembl:lncRNA
AGGCGCUGGAGGAGCUUGUCAGCGGAUUGAGUGAGCAGGUACACAGUCACUUCAGGAGGUACGAGGUGGAAUACCUACAGUUCGCCUUCCGGUGGAUGAACAACCUGCUCAUGCGGGAGCUCCCUCUGCGCUGCACCAUCCGCCUGUGGGACACCUACCAGUCCGAGCCUGAGGGCUUCCUCCCACUUCCACCUCUACGUGUGCGCCCCCUUCCUGGUCAAGUGGAGGAAGGAGAUCCUGGAUGAGGAAGACUUCCAGGGACUCCUGAUGCUGCUGCAGAACCUGCCUACGAUCCACUGGGGCAAUGAGGAGAUCGGGCUGCUGCUGGCUGAGGCGUACAGACUCAAGUACAUGUUUGCUGACGCCCCCAAUCACUACCGCCGAUAGGUGCUGCCUCCCCGGGGACCCAGACGCCCGUCUCCGAUGCAGUCUGGUCACUGUGGCCACCGAGCUGGGGACCCCAUGGGAGCCACUCCUGCUGUACAAAGUUACCCGGCCGCCGUGCGGGCCUUCAUCUCGCCAUCCACCACCGUGUCCACGGCUGUGUCUCGGCCACUGUCAGUAUUCCACACCGUGUGCCCAGCCAGGCCCGGGAGAGGACAGAGAGGCGGUGCAGGGCUGUCCCCUACAGGAAGCUGGAUGGGGCGCAGGGUCCCGCUUACGUUGUCCCCCCAGGAACUGGUCUCUUACCUCCAGGCCUCCACUGAUACUGUUGCAUUUUUUUUCUUUUUAAAUAAGAAAAAUCUACAAAAUUUCUUACAUGCCCCAGGCGUGGGAGUAUUAGUGUGACUUGGCUCUGUCUGAGCCCAGGUUGGAUAUGCCUUAUGUUUUUAGAAGCCCCCCAGCCCGCUGCCCUGGGCCGGAUCCCCGCUGUCAGGGCCGCUGCUGGGACGCUGCUGUGCUGGAGCAGAGGAGGCAUUGAGCUCCCGGCUCUGGGAAGGGCCUACACCCAAGGGCUAGGGGUUUCCUUUUGCUUUCCCCACCAGGUAUCCGUGUGCACGUGCGCCCAGUCUCAGUCAGACUGGCCUGGCCCGGCCCCCGUGUGACCAAGGGGACAAGGGUCCCUGGAGAAGGGUCAGGGCGGGAGGGAGAAGGGACUUUUCACCUCUUUCCAAGAUGACCCACUCCAAGAUACUAUGUGUAAAUUGUGUUACUAUGUAUAUGGGUAAAGUUGUACAAAUAUCCGUCCUCUUUGUAGCAGAUAUGAGUUUAUAUUUAUAACGUGUGAACACGGCCUAGGUCCCCGGUGCACACGCAGCUGCUGGGGUGGUUUCUGGGCGCCCUCCCGGCCUGAGUCCCCUGGAGGGAGGACGGCUGGGCAGGCCCCAGUGUCAGGGUCCAGGUCGCAGUGAGUGUCACAGGGCCGUCCUCGGCCUCCCCCUCAGGCCAAGCCCUCACCUCCCGGAGUCCACGCUCAUCUGGCCAGAAGCUGUGGCUGAUUUGUCAGUCCCAAGGGCAGGGCUCCAGGUGUCCCUGUGGCUUGGGGCUCCUCUCAGUGACAUUAGUGUCCCCUGCUGUCACUGUCACUCCACGUGGCUCAGGAGGUGACCCCCAUCCGAAUUUUGGUGUUUGGUGGCGAUGUGGGGGCGGAGGCUCGCAGCGUCACCCUCUGGGAGCCCAGCGGUGCCCCAUGGGCGACACCCUGAGCCCUGCCCAUGCCCAGCAGGGCUCCCAUCCUCCCGUUCCUUCCCCUCCACAGAGUGCGGCCCGGCCCCGUCGGCCAGCCUGCUAAAGAUGGACACUUGUGGUCCCAAGUGGUGGUUUUAUUUUUUUAGUUUUUAUGUUUGUAUGGGAGUUGUGGAGACCGUGAGUGAACUGUAAAUAAAUAGUGCGUUUCUUCCUCCACCUGCUGAAUUUUCUCCUGUCACUGUGGGCUUGCAGGACCCAAACCGAAGGUAUCUCCUCUUCUUGGGUUGGGUUGGGUUUGGUUUCCGACCCUUGUGGGUGUGGGGCCUGGCCUCCUAAAGACCAAAGCUUGGGGGUCGUCAUCAGCGAACCCUGAGCUCUGUGGAAGGAAGCGUGGAGACCGAAGAACCGGGUCCAUGCAUGGUUCCUAGGGGCCGACAGUGCCUUCAUGUGCCUGGGGGGGUGACAGGGUUUGUUCCUGGCUUGUUUCAGUGCUGGUCCGAAGCCCAGAGUCUUUCACACCCUCCCUGUUCACAGAGGAAGCUCAACCCAAGGCAAAGAAGGGCUGCGGCGGGCAGGCAGCGGGCAGGCCUCCCCAGGGCGUACCUGUUCAUGUUUGCCACAAACCGUGCAGAACUGAGGUGUGGAGAACCAAGCCUGAGCAUGACCCCAGCACUCUGGGAGGCCGAGGCAGGAGAAUCAUGCUUGAGCCCAGCCUUGGCAACUGAGUGGCUUAGAAUUUAGACACUGGCCCGCCUUUGAGCUUCCUCAUUAAGUCUUUGGGGGUGUUGGCUGCUGGUUUUUCUCGUGACUGUGCCCUCAGGAAGAGUAGUUUGACCGCAUUUCCAUCUAUAAAGGGUAGAUUGGAGUUGUUUCUCCACCCAGAACUCCUUGCUAGGAUUCAUUUGAGAGUGUUUCCUUGGAUUCCAUCUGGAUUGAGUUCAGCUGCCUGUAACAGGAACAGAAGUCGGUGGACAUACAGGAUGGAAAGUGUUUCUCCCUCACCGAAACACCCGACAGUAGGCAGCCCGGGCGGUGUGGUGACUUGGUUGCAGAGUCCUCAGGAAGCGAGGCCCUUUCCGAGGCCUUCAUGGUCAAGGUGGUGGCUCACAUGCCGCUGUUGU